CCUUGGGUGUGCAUGCAUGUGUGUGUUGGGAAAAGUAUAUGACCAGUGACCAGUUCAUAAUUUUGGCAUUUAUUUUGGUAUGUCAUCAUUAAUAUGGUUCCAAUUAAAGAUGAUGUCUUUUAUCCAAGACUUAUGUCACUAUAUCAAAGGUCAAGAUCACAGCAAGGGAUUUAACUUUCUCAUAUAUUUCUUAUAUUUUCUUAAAUGGAGCUUUGGUCUGUGUAUGGAUUUCAUUAAUAAUUUGUUCACUCGGCCAUCAUGAUUGGAUGAUGAAACAAGUAUAACACCCAGGCCCUUAGGUCAAAUGUCAUGGUCACAGCAGAUCCAGACCCUUUGGUUAAAGGGCAAGGUCUCAGCAGAUCCACAUCCUUUGGUCAAAGGGCAAGGUCAUGGUAGAUCCAGGCCCUUUGGUCAAAGGUCAUGGUCACAGCAGAUCAAGACCCUUUGGUCAAAGGUCAAGGUCACAGCAGAUUGUGUGCAGUUUUGUUGGGGAUAAUUCCUUUCUUGUAUAUGAUGGAAAUUCUUUAUUUAUUGUAGCAUACAACCAAAAGUAGUAAAGACACAUAUCUGAAGUUAUUUUAAUACAUUCUUAAGAUUGGGGUAGUGUUCUCUUUUAUAAGAUGCAGUCCACUAGUCUAGAGAUCAAAGACACAAUAAAAACUUGCAUGUAAACACUAUUAAAAAGAUUACAGCAAUGUUUGCCGACUUUAAACCACUUUUUGUUCUUUGAAUUUUGACACAUAUGGAGCAUAGCAAUCAUAAAUGCACAUAUGGAGCAUAUGUGCACAUAUGGAGCACAUAUUUUGACACAUUUUUUUUUCUGAAGCAUAACUCAAGAAGUAUUGGAGAUAACAAUUCAGACAGAUAAAUCUCAAGAACUGCAAUGCUCUGUGUAAUUUUUUCGUACUUAGUUUCAAGUUUGUAUGAUGUGCCAAUAUGAAAUUUGAUUAAAUUGCAUGCUUAAGUUUUUGCGCUAAAACAGUCACAGUUUUAGUUUCAAUGUAAGUUAUAUAAUUUUAUAUUAUUGGAUGGAUGAACUUAUGUAUGGUACAAUGUUGUCAAUCUGUAGUUGUUAGCUCUAAAGAAUUGUUAAAACAUGUUUUUUUUCUAAAGUCCAAAUUUUAAUGGUAUUUUCAAUAUAAAGUAUUAUUUUAUUUAUAUCUAAUCUGUAGUUGUUAGCUUGAAAGAAUUGUUCAUACAUGCUUUUUAUUACAGUCAAAACUUUAUUCGUAUUUUCAGUAUAAAGUAUUAUUGUAUUUUUUUAUAAUCUUUGAAAGUAUUUGUUUCUGAAUAAUUGUGUAACAUGGUACAUUUCUUACAUAUGCUAUGUGGGUUUGAAAUAGCUCAAUUUCCUAAAGGACCGAUGUUGUUUACUUGACUUAUAUUGGUAUAAAGGACAAAUUAACUGUUUUAUAAAGGGAGUUUAUGUAGCACAAGUCUUUAUCCCAUUUAAACAUACUGUCUGUUUCAUAAAGAGUGGUAAUAUAUUGUAAGAUAAUAUAAUUCAUUUUAACAAAUCGUUUGUUUUAUAUGGGGAGGUUAUAUAUAUCGUAAACUUAUAUGUCUCAUUCAAACAAGUUGUUUGUUUCAUAAGGGGAGGUAGUAUAGCCAAAGGUAAUAUAUGUCAUUCGAAUAAAUUGUUUAUUUUGUAAAGGGAGGUAAUUUAUCAUAAGGCAAUAAUAUUUUAUCUUAUUCAAACAAAUUGUUUGUUUUAUAAGUGGAUGUAAUAUAUCCUAAGGUAAUAUAUCAAAUUGGAACAGAUCAUCUCUUAUAAAGGGAGGUAAUUUAUUGUAAGGCGAUAUAUAUCUCAUUCAAACAAAUCGUUUGUUUUAUAAAGGGAGGUAAUAUAUCCUAAAGUAAUAUAAUUCAUUGGAACAUACUGUUUGUUUCAUAAAGGAAGGUAAUAUUUCGUGAGGUAAUAUAUUUCAUUCAGACAAAUUGUAUGUUUUAUAAAGGGAGGUAAUAUAUUUAAAGUCAUAUAUCUCACUCACACAAUUCAUUUGUUUGUAAAGGAAAGUAAUAUGUUGCAUGUUAAUUUAUCUUUUUGCAAUGUUUGAUUUAUAAAGGGAGAUAAAAAUUAUGUAAAGUAUGCACUGUAUAAGACAAAAUUUUAAAUAUAAAAUGUUCAAGAGAAGGCGUAAUUUUUUCACAAAACAUGUAACUAUUUACCUCCCUUGACAGAAGUGGCAGUCGUUUUUAGAGUCAUUCUAAAAAUAAUUAUUGAAAACAAUAUGAAAAUAAGCAAAGUAAAGAGAUUAUUUAGGUAAAUAUUUUGGGAUAUAUGAAGAAAAUAUUAAUAUUUAUGUAUAGUUCUUAAUAGUUAUCACUGGUUUUCACUCACAUUUAUUUAAGGCAUCAUGUAUAAAAAUGAAAAGCUGUUGAUUUUUUGAUAAAAAUGUAAUCAAAUAGAAUCUAUUUAAAAGACCCUGAUGCAAUGUAUUUAUAUCUUAAUAUUGUUGAGUUCAUUUGUACAUUUUUUUUUGCUGGUGGUCUUUUUUAUGUCGAUUUUACACGUUUUAAGGGCAUUUUCAUCAUUUUCAUUAAUUAUUAAUAUUUUUUUCUAUAGAUUAUUUGUUGAAAGAAACAUCAUGAUUUGGAUACAUAUUAUGAUUUUGAUUGCGUUAUAGCAAUAUAUAUAUAUAAGCCACACCAUGACAAAACCAACAUAAUGGGUCUGUCUGUGCAGUCUGAUCAGGAUCCAUGCUGUUUGCCUACAAACCCUGUAACAAGCAUAGAAACUGAUUGCCAACAGCAGGAAUCCAGAUCAGACUGCGCAGAUGCGCAGGCUGGUCUGGAUACAUGCUGGUCGCAAACCCACUAUGUUUGUUUUGUCGUUACACGCCUCAUAUAUAAUCCAUUAACCCCUUAGUCUGCUGGCAUUGUCUGAAUUAAUCCUUGCCACCAGUGCAGACCAUGUUCAGUCGGCUCAUUUAUGUAGUCUGAUCAUUUUCUGCACUGUUUGCUAUUCUGUCAGUAUGUAUUUUGUGAAAUUCCCUAAAAAUGAUGAAUGGUUUUGUCCACAUUGAAAGAUGGACAAGUCCAUUUAAGAUAUUUAGUGUAGGAAGAGUAAAUGUAAUAAGAUUUGAUCUUGAUGACAAUAUUUCAAUAUAGAUUUAGUGUUGAAAGAUCUAGAAUAUCUUAACAUGAUAAUAUUUGUUGAAUGUUUUCUUUCCCUGUACACAAGUAAAUAUUGCUGAAAGAUUCAUUUUAUUGUGAUAUAAAGGUAAUGUUAGAUUAUUUCAUUGUCAACUUAUAUUAUCUUAAUAUAGAGCAUUGUGAAAGGUUUACAGUUAUCUCAGUGUAGACCUAGUGGUGAAAGGUUUACAGUUAUCUCAGUGUAGACCUAGUGGUGAAAGGUUUACAGUUAUCUCAGUGUAGACCUAGUGGUGAAAGGUUUACAUCUACCUCUGUAGACCUAGUGGUGAAAGGUGAACAUUUACCUCAAUGUAAAGUGUGUGUGGUGAAAGGUUUACUUUAUCUGAGUGUAGACCUAGUGGUGGAAGGUUUACAGUUAUCUCAGUGUAGACCUAGUGGUGAAAGGUUUACACUUAUCUCAGUGUAGACCUAGUGGUGAAAGGUUUACACUUAUCUCAGUGUCGACCUAGUGGUGAAAGGUUUACAGUUAUCUUAGUGUAAAGCUAGUGGUGAAAGGUUUACACUUAUCUCAGUGUAGACCUAGUGGUGAAAGGUUUACUUUAUCUCAGUGUAGACCUAGUGGUGAAAGGUUUACACUUAUCUCAGUGUAGACCUAGUGGUGAAAGGUUUACUGUUAUCUCAGUGUAGACCUAGUGGGGAAAGGAUUUACAGUUAUCUCAGUGUAAAGUAUGUGGUGAAUGGUUUACUUUAUCUCAGUGUAGACCUAGUGGUGAAAGGAUUACUGUAUCUCAGUGUAAAGUGUGUGAUGAAAGGUUUACACUUAUCUCAGUGUAGACCUAGUGGUGAAAGGUUUACUGUUAUCUUAGUGUAGACCUAGUGGUGAAAGGUUUACUGUAAUCUCAUUGUAGACCUAGUUGUGAAAGGUCUACACUUAUCUCAGUGUAGACCUAGUGAUGAAAGUUUUACAUUAUCUUAAUGCAAAGGUAGUGGUUAAAUAUUUGGAUUUCUUGGUGAAAGGUAAGUAUUGAUAAGUUAACAUUGCCUCAGCAUUAAUGUAGUAUCUAUAGAAAGGUAGGAAUGAAACCAAAGGAAACUUGGUAAUUUGUAUGACUUUUGCCAGUAUUGAGUUCCACUGGAAGAAAUUACAUUAACUCAAAUGAAAAAAAUUGAUUGAUGCCAAAGUUAUGAACUUGUGAUAUUAGUAUCACAGUAUUAUACUAGUAAUAACAUAAAUGGAUAAAGUAGAAUCUCAUGGUAGUAAUGGUGAUAGAAAUAUGCUUUAUUGCAAUUAAACAUUAAUGUUUUACCACUUUCAACUAAUUAAUGUAUGUCAUAUUUCAUUGAAAAUACUGAAAAAUUUAUUUGUUUUGAAUAAAGCUAUGUAGUGGUAGUGAUUGAAAGUAUGCUUUAUUACAAUAAAAUAUUACAUUUUUACCAAUUUCAAUUUAUUAAUUACUAGUAUGUCAUUAUGUCACAAAUAUUGUUUAUUAGUUCAAAAAAGGUGUAAUUGUGAUUGUAAUAUUGUAUAAUGAUGAUUUAUAAAGUGAGAAAAGUU